rnacentral:rRNA from 1 species
CAGUCGAACGGAGUACCCCUGAAGGAGUUUUCGGACAACUGAUGGGACUACUUAGUGGCGGACGGGUGAGUAACGCGUGAGUAACCUGCCUUGGAGUGGGGAAUAACAGCUGGAAACAGCUGCUAAUACCGCAUAAUAUGUCUGUGUCGCAUGGCACUGGACAUCAAAGAUUUAUCGCUCUGAGAUGGACUCGCGUCUGAUUAGCUAGUUGGCGGGGUAACGGCCCACCAAGGCGACGAUCAGUAGCCGGACUGAGAGGUUGGCCGGCCACAUUGGGACUGAGACACGGCCCAGACUCCUACGGGAGGCAGCAGUGGGGAAUAUUGGGCAAUGGGCGCAAGCCUGACCCAGCAACGCCGCGUGAAGGAAGAAGGCUUUCGGGUUGUAAACUUCUUUUCUCAGGGACGAAGCAAGUGACGGUACCUGAGGAAUAAGCCACGGCUAACUACGUGCCAGCAGCCGCGGUAAUACGUAGGUGGCAAGCGUUAUCCGGAUUUACUGGGUGUAAAGGGCGUGUAGGCGGGACUGCAAGUCAGAUGUGAAAACCACGGGCUCAACCUGUGGCCUGCAUUUGAAACUGUAGUUCUUGAGUACUGGAGAGGCAGACGGAAUUCCUAGUGUAGCGGUGAAAUGCGUAGAUAUUAGGAGGAACACCAGUGGCGAAGGCGGUCUGCUGGACAGCAACUGACGCUGAGGCGCGAAAGCGUGGGGAGCAAACAGGAUUAGAUACCCUGGUAGUCCACGCUGUAAACGAUGGAUACUAGGUGUGGGGGGGACUGACCCCCUCCGUGCCGCAGUUAACACAAUAAGUAUC